UCUUAUCAAGAGAAAUCAAACAAUACAAUAUUUUAUUGCUCAACAAGAAAUGAUAAAGAUUCAGUUCACACAUCUACUGAGACACAGUAUGGGCCUAUUAUGGGUGAGCUCCGUUAUUUUGACUUUAUAAACCAUUGUCUUAUGAUUUAGUGUCCCAGAAUCAUAGGUGACUCCUAAAAUCCUUGGUUAUAGCCAAGUAACUAUUUAUAAAGUUGCAAUUUUUAAUGGGACAGAUGUGUGAAAGUAUUAAAUAGUUGAUUUUUGAUUGUGUGCCAUCAAGUUGAUAUCAACUCUUAGCAACCAUAUAACACGGCAAUUUAUUCCUAACUCAUUUUUCAAGUCUACCAUUUUUGCACUUAUUACCACUGUAACUGAGUCUAUCCUCCUGCUGUUGAUUGUCCUUUUCUUCUCUUUUCUCUCACCUUUCCCAGCCUUUUCUGGUGAGCUACAUCUUCGCAUCAUGUGCCCAAAAUAGGAUAAGUCAAACCAAGUAUUUGGGCCACAAGAUAAUCUUAAGGUUACCAGAUCUGGAUUGCAAAACUGCUCAGUGCCACUGCAAUUUCCCCUUUGCUGUCAUAUAGAAGCCGUCUGGAUUUUUGCUGCUCAGAUCCUGUGUAGCCCUAGCAACACCAGCUUGCUUCAACGAGACGUUACAAAGCAUCAUAUCUUCUCGCCUCCAUUACAAAUUACUGACUACAACAAUAAUGAAGCCCGUAGGGCCCGGGCGCUGCUUUACAAAGCUGUUGUGACCUAGGCUUACUGAGUAAUUGCAAUACACAAUUAGUCCCAAACAAACC